ACAGAUCUCUCCUAUGGUGUUUUACAUUAUUGUCAGGUAAAGAUAAUAACGUUUUGAUGCUUCCUAAUUGAUCAGAUUGUAAAAUCCAGCAGAAAAAGAUCAGCAAACAACAAAGGGUUUCUAUAAAAACAUAUUUAUUGUGCAAGACAAAAGCUCUAAACAGACCCUGUGACACGAAUGGUGACGACUAACAAAGGCUAGGAGGAGAAAAAAACCCCAGACCUUUAGUAAUGCAUCUGAUUUUACAAAGUUUUCUGCAAACCCUUUGCCCAGUUCUAACUGAGCUGAAAUGAGUGGUGAAAUUAUGGAUUAAUGAAUGGAAGAUAAAUCAAGCAUGGGGGAAAUUUUGGAGGCUUCUAAGAAACACGCUGCUCUGCUGGGGCAGAUGAACAUUUCUAAGGAUGCCUACUCAGCAUACAUUUAAGUGGAAUGAAUUUCCUUAUUGUAAGGCAAGACAAGCUCAUAAUUUAAGUGGAUAAAAUAGUUACUAACUACUGCUGUUCUGGGGACUUAAACUGACUCUGAACCAAAAAUCAGUUUGAACUGCUUUUUUUAACUUUUCUUGAACCAGAACUGAACUUGAAUGUUAUUUUGAAGCUUAGCUGACUUCAUGCUGGAAGUGAACAAUAACAGCUUCAGUCAGAGCUGAAUGUGAACUAAGCUGAAAAAUGGAAUUGCUUGACUCCUGGUGGGCCACUGCAGGCUGUUCCCCCAGCUGCUGACAGGGCUGAGCAGGAGGAGAACUUCCAGAAUAGUAACUCUCUUGGCCUCUGAACUCUAUUAACUGCAAUUGAUUUUGCAUGUUGGAUGAAGCAGGGGCAACGUUUCUCCAAAAUUGCCCCAAGUUAUUGCUACAGGAAAGGUGACCAGGUUAAUGCACUUACUGUUCCUGUCAACAGCUGAGCUCCAGGCACCGUACAUGAUUCUUG